UUCAUAUAUUCAUCAAAAGACUCCGACGUACAGAGACAGGGUUGGUUGGUCCACCGGGGGCGGCGGAGGCCGCUCUGCCCCCGAGGCAAAAGUGGUUUGGUCAACAAAGGGUUGGGGACAGGGGCCCGGGGGCCCGCCAUCUCUGGUAAUGAUCCCUCCGCAGGUUCACCUACGGAGA
rnacentral:misc_RNA from 1 species